CAUUACAGAAAGUAAACGCGGAUCAAACCGCGAACUUCUAAACCUUUGACGAUUGACUUAUGUUGCCUCGGCGGGUUCUCCCGCCAGAGGAUACAUCAAAACUCCUGUUUUAACGGUGUUGUCUGAGCUACAAGCAACGAAUCAAAACUUUCAACAACGGAUCUCUUGGUUCUGGCAUCGAUGAAGAACGCAGCGAAAUGCGAUAAGUAGUGUGAAUUGCUGAAUUCAGUGAAUCAUCGAAUCUUUGAACGCACAUUGCGCCCCUUGGUAUCCCGAGGGGCAUGCCUGUUCGAGCGUCAUUUCACCACUCAAGCCUGGCUUGGUGUUGGGCGACGUCCUCUUCGGGGACGCGCCUCGAAACGCUCGGCGGCGUGGCACCGGCUUUAAGCGUAGCAGAAUCUUUCGCUUCAAAAGUCGGGGCCCCGUCUGCCGGAAGACCUACUCGCAAGGUUG
rnacentral:rRNA from 1 species